rnacentral:rRNA from 1 species
CCCAGACUCCUACGGGAGGCAGCAGUGGGGAAUAUUGCACAAUGGGGGAAACCCCGAUGCAGCGACGCCGCGUGAGUGAGGAAGUAUUUCGGUAUGUAAAGCUCUAUCAGCAGGGAAGAAAAUGACGGUACCUGACUAAGAAGCCCCGGCUAACUACGUGCCAGCAGCCGCGGUAAUACGUAGGGGGCAAGCGUUAUCCGGAUUUACUGGGUGUAAAGGGAGCGUAGACGGACUUGCAAGUCUGAUGUGAAAAUCUGGGGCCCAACCCCGGAACUGCAUUGGAAACUGUAUAUCUAGAGUGUCGGAGAGGCAAGUGGAAUUCCUGGUGUAGCGGUGAAAUGCGUAGAUAUCAGGAGGAACACCAGUGGCGAAGGCGGCUUGCUGGACGAUGACUGACGUUGAGGCUCGAAAGCGUGGGGAGCAAACAGGAUUAGAUACCCGUGUA